GGUGAGUAACGCGUGGGUAACCUGCCCUGUACACACGGAUAACAUACCGAAAGGUAUGCUAAUACGAGAUAAUAUGCUUUUAUCGCAUGGUAGAAGUAUCAAAGCUUUUGCGGUACAGGAUGGACCCGCGUUGGAUUAGCUAGUUGGUGGGGUAAUGGCCCACCAAGGCGACGAUCCAUAGCCGGCCUGAGAGGGUGAACGGCCACAUUGGGACUGAGACACGGCCCAGACUCCUACGGGAGGCAGCAGUGGGGAAUAUUGCACAAUGGGGGAAACCCUGAUGCAGCGACGCCGCGUGAAGGAAGAAGUAUCUCGGUAUGUAAACUUCUAUCAGCAGGGAAGAUAGUGACGGUACCUGACUAAGAAGCCCCGGCUAACUACGUGCCAGCAGCCGCGGUAAUACGUAGGGGGCAAGCGUUAUCCGGAUUUACUGGGUGUAAAGGGAGCGUAGGCGGCGGAGCAAGUCAGAAGUGAAAGCCCGGGGCUCAACCCCGGGACGGCUUUUGAAACUGCCCUGCUUGAUUUCAGGAGAGGUAAGCGGAAUUCCUAGUGUAGCGGUGAAAUGCGUAGAUAUUAGGAGGAACACCAGUGGCGAAGGCGGCUUACUGGACUGACAAUGACGCUGAGGCUCGAAAGCG
rnacentral:rRNA from 1 species